UACGGAGGGUGCAAGCGUUGUCCGGAUUCAUUGGGUUUAAAGGGUGCGCAGGCGGGACAUUAAGUCAGGGGUGAAAGACGGUUGCUCAACAAUCGCAGUGCCUUUGAUACUGGUGUUCUUGGGUGACCUUGAGGUAGGCGGAAUGGGUGGUGUAGCGGUGAAAUGCGCAGAUAUCAGGAAGAACACCCGUGGCGAAGGCGGCUCUCUGGGACGGUACUGACGCUGAGACGCGAAAGCGUGGGGAGCGAACAGG
rnacentral:rRNA from 1 species